ACGCGCUGAAGGGGAUCCGGCGAGUCACGUGAAAAGCGCCAGACCUCCAUGUGCGGCAGCAGCAAAAUGCCGCAGAUGCUGGAAACUGUGGGUAAAAUCUGAGAACGCUGAACUCUCCUGACAAUUCAGGAAGACCAGUGCUCCAGAUUGGGCACAGCAGAGCACCUAUGCACAAAUGACCUGCUAGCCCAGGGGAUACACCAAGCCCUCUCUGGGUGCAAUACGCACAAGAUGCCAGAGGGAAAUCAGGCAGCAUCUAUGGAGGGAAAUAACCAGCCAACGUUUCUGGCCAAGACCCUUCAUCAGAACUGAUUAACAGAUUUCCAACAUCUACAGUGGAGGAACAACAGCAGAGCAGCCGUGGCUGGAGUUUAUGUGAGAAGUGAGGAAGGUGCAAGACAGGUAACUUUGGGACAUGGGAGGCAACUGGAGCACCAAGAACAACUCCACACAGUCACAGGAAGAACAUGCAAACGGCACACAGACAGCAUCAGAGAUCAGGAUCGAAUCCUGGUCACUGGAACUGAGGCAGCAUCUCUACAAGGUGCACCACUGUGCCAUCCACCAUCUACAGGUGCACAUUCCUUUAUCCGAAAUUCUGAAAUCCAAAAAGCUCCGAAAAUUGAAGUUUAUUUCACCAACAGCUGACGUCACUCAGGUGUGACGUGGCAGCACGAGCAGAGGCCGCCAGAUGUCAGUUGUGGCUCAGCGCUUGUACAGGUUACAUGUGCAUUUGCUGUUCGCUGAUAUUUUGUGUUCACUGUUGACUUUGUGUUUAAUUUCACUGUGAAAAUGUCAAAAAGAGCUGCAGAUACCCCUAUGGGUAACAAUGAGAAAAAGAGAAGGAAUCUUCUCUAUCAAUAACGCAGAAAGUGGAGUUAUUGCAGAAACUUCAUCAUGGUGUGUCUGUGUGGCACCUUACUGAAGAAAAUAAUGUCGGAACUACCACUGUAUAUGAUUUAAAUAAACAGAAAGAGAAGUUACUGAAGUUUUAUAGUGACAGUGACAGUGACCUUCUACAUUUAUUCCAAUAAGUCAUUUACCAUGUGUUUGAUUUGGU